rnacentral:sRNA from 1 species
CAGGGCCUGGUGGUCCCAGCAGCCUGAGUCCAGCCCCCGGUGGUCAGAAAGCAAGGCCUUCCAGACUCUUGCUCGACUGUGGUCUCCCCACCUCACUCCAUCUCUGGGUGCUUGGCUUUUGUCCUGCAUGAGCCAGAAGAGCUGCUGGGGUGCAAGGAGGCCAGCUGACCCCAUCCUGCGCCUCCCGGCUUCCCAGGACAUGCUGGCCCUGCAGAUCAUCGACCUCUUCAAGAACAUCUUCCAGCUGGUCGGCCUGGACCUCUUUGUUUUUCCCUACCGCGUGGUGGCCACUGCCCCUGGGUGCGGGGUGAUCGAGUGCAUCCCCGACUGCACCUCCCGGGACCAGCUGGGCCGCCAGACAGACUUCGGCAUGUACGACUACUUCACACGCCAGUACGGGGAUGAGUCCACCCUGGCCUUCCAGCAGGCCCGCUACAACUUCAUCCGAAGCAUGGCCGCCUACAGCCUCCUGCUGUUCCUGCUGCAGAUCAAGGAUAGACACAAUGGCAACAUUAUGCUGGACAAGAAGGGCCAUAUCAUCCACAUCGACUUUGGCUUCAUGUUUGAAAGCUCGCCGGGCGGCAAUCUCGGCUGGGAACCCGACAUCAAGCUGACGGAUGAGAUGGUGAUGAUCAUGGGGGGCAAGAUGGAGGCG